UGGGGAAUAUUGGACAAUGGGCGCAAGCCUGAUCCAGCAAUGCCGCGUGUGUGAAGAAGGUUUUCGGAUUGUAAAGCACUUUCGGCGGGGACGAUGAUGACGGUACCCGCAGAAGAAGCCCCGGCUAACUUCGUGCCAGCAGCCGCGGUAAUACGAAGGGGGCUAGCGUUGCUCGGAAUGACUGGGCGUAAAGGGCGCGUAGGCGGAUGUGUCAGUCAGACGUGAAAUUCCUGGGCUCAACCUGGGGACUGCGUUUGAGACGGCAUAUCUUGAGUGAGGAAGAGGGUUGUGGAAUUCCCAGUGUAGAGGUGAAAUUCGUAGAUAUUGGGAAGAACACCGGUGGCGAAGGCGGCAACCUGGUCCUUGACUGACGCUGAGGCGCGAAAGCGUGGGGAGCAAACAGG
rnacentral:rRNA from 1 species